AUUGAACGCUGGCGGCAUGCUUUACACAUGCAAGUCGAACGGUAACAGGCCGCAAGGUGCUGACGAGUGGCGAACGGGUGAGUAAUGCAUCGGAACGUGCCCAGUCGUGGGGGAUAACGCAGCGAAAGCUGCGCUAAUACCGCAUACGAUCUAUGGAUGAAAGCGGGGGACCGUAAGUCCUCGCGCGACUGGAGCGGCCGAUGUCAGAUUAGGUAGUUGGUGGGGUAAAGGCUCACCAAGCCAACGAUCUGUAGCUGGUCUGAGAGGACGACCAGCCACACUGGGACUGAGACACGGCCCAGACUCCUACGGGAGGCAGCAGUGGGGAAUUUUGGACAAUGGGCGCAAGCCUGAUCCAGCAAUGCCGCGUGCAGGAAGAGGGCCUUCGGGUUGUAAACUGCUUUUGUACGGAACGAAACGGCUCUCUCUAAUACAGGGGGUUAAUGACGGUACCGUAAGAAUAAGCACCGGCUAACUACGUGCCAGCCGCCGCGGUAAUAC
rnacentral:rRNA from 1 species